rnacentral:lncRNA from 1 species
GUGUUUAUUUUAAGGAAUUAUGAAAUUAAAAUUUUAUUUUAUGCUAUAUAUAUUUAUGAAAUUAGAUUUUGAUUGUUGGUAUAGAGAAUUAAUUAAUCUUGCAAGUCAUCACAUUUACCAACUCAUAUUAUUAUAAACUUAUUAUAGUAAUGUGAGAUCCCAAAUGCUAUCUGGCUUUCCAUGUCAGUUUCUGACAUCAGUAGGAUUUGGUGUUACUCCAGCACUUUAAAUAGACAGCAUAUAGAUAAGUAGUAGUCUCUUCCCCUGAGCUAAAAAGGAGAUUGAUGUUAGGAAAAUACCAGAUAUUACAACUUCUUGUUCAGCAAAAAAACAAGAAUUUAUUUUAAAAAGAUAAAAGUUAUGGAGACAAAGAUAUAAGACCCUUAAUUUUUGUAUAUAUUAAAAUGAAAAGAAAGAGGAACUUGCAAAAUGUGCUAACAUGCAAUCCACAGGAAACUUAUCCAGAGAGAAAUUUCCAGUGUGUUGCAGAUUUUUUUCUGUCUUUUUCUUGUUGCCAGCAGUCAGGAUUCUUCUCCCCAUCUCUGAGAAUACUAGUGUUUUCUCAGUGAAGUCCCUGCCUUUACUUGUCAGUACCCAGUUCAACUCUCUCUGCCUGUUAGUUAUUUUCAUAUUUAUACCUGAUGGUAGAAGUUAACAAGGUUUCAGAUGUCUGAUACUUGGUCUCAGAUAGAGGGUCCUUUCUUUUUUUGACAGGAAAUUCCUGGAUAAUUUUUGGUAUUUUCAGAUAAAAAUCUCUCUUCAAAUAAUGUGUGGAUAUUGAUAAUUUAAUGAGGAUGUUAUUUAUCAUCACUUUGCUUUGGGAAGAAUUUGAUGAUUCUACACAUUAUUUUUUUUCAUGCAUUUGAGCAAUACCUUUUUAGUUAUAGAUGCAC